UCCCCGUUACCGGGGCAGUCUGAAUAGAAAAAUUCAACUAUUCAUAGGGGUUGCGCUCGUUAAUGGACUUAACCAAACAUCUCACGACACGAGCUGACGACGGCCAUGCAGCACCUGUCACCGAGUUCAAUAAAGCACUCACUUCUUUCGAAGUAAUUCUCGGGAUGUCAAACCCUGGUAAGGUUUAUCGUUUACCAUCGAAUUAAAGAACAUGCUCCACCGCUUGUGCGGGUCCCCGUCAAUUCCUUUAUGUUUUAGCCUUGCGGCCGUACUCCACAGGCGGGAUGCUUAACGCGUUAGCUUCGCUACGGAAGGGGUCGAUACCCCCCACAGCUAGCAUCCAUCGUUUACGGCGUGGACUAC
rnacentral:misc_RNA from 1 species